CAGAUUCGGGACCGGAACUCCCAGUAGAACCGGGUUCAAAGAGGUUCGGGUCCUGGGCUGAGAAGUUCCGGGAAACCGAGCGCUUCAUCGCUGCAGAUCCGGGUCGGAGUGGGCUGCGUCCGGCUGACUGAGCCAGAACCAUGUACCAGGUCCAGCUGGUUGGCGAGCAGCAGGAGAGCCGCCCCCUGCUGAGCCCCUCCAUCGAUGACUUCCUGUCUGAGAGCCGCAGUGACGCCAGCCAACCACUGAGCUCCAGCGCAGCAGCUCUGGACCUGGUGGACCUCAGCGACCCCGGUGGGAGCAGAAACCCCA